UAACACAUGCAAGUCGAGCGGUAACAGGACUAGCUUGCUAGUUGCUGACGAGCGGCGGACGGGUGCGUAACACGUAGGAAUCUGCCCGGUAGUGGGGGAUAGCCCGGAGAAAUCCGGAUUAAUACCGCAUACGCCUUAAGAGGGAAAGCAGGGGACCCGUUUCUUUUAUAAGGAGCGAACCUUGCGCUAUCGGAUGAGCCUGCGUCGGAUUAGCUUGUUGGUGGGGUAAAGGCCUACCAAGGCGACGAUCCGUAGCUGGUCUGAGAGGAUGAUCAGCCACACUGGGACUGAGACACGGCCCAGACUCCUACGGGAGGCAGCAGUGGGGAAUAUUGCACAAUGGGCGCAAGCCUGAUGCAGCCAUGCCGCGUGUGUGAAGGAGGCCCUAGGGUUGUAAAGCACUUUCAGCGAGGAGGAAAGGGUGUCCGUUAAUACCGGGCAUCUGUGACGUUACACGCAAAAGAAGCACCGGCUAACUCCGUGCCAGCAGCCACGGUAAUACGGAGGGUGCGAGCGAAAAUCAAAAUUACUGGAAGUAAGAAUGCGUAGACGGUUUGUUAAGUUGGAAGGGAGGGUUGGGGCUUAGCAGGGGAUUACAUAUGAGGGGCAUGUACAGAGAGUAAAUACC
rnacentral:rRNA from 1 species